AUCACUUCUCGGCCUUUUGGCUAAGAUCAAGUGUAGUAUCUCUUCUUAUCAGUGUGCAGAUAAUUAUAAUUCAAGGCAAAAUGUGUUUUUCCCAAAAGAGGGGGAAGAAGGAAAUGUUCUCAAUUAAGGAGAAUGAUAGGUUGCAUCUGGCUGGAGGGCUCAGGAAAGCUCCAUGAGGAUCAUUUCCAUCACCU
ensembl:snRNA U2 U2 spliceosomal RNA